GUGAGGAAUUUUGCGCAAUGGGGGCAACCCUGACGCAGCGACGCCGCGUGGAGGACGAAGUCUUUCGGGAUGUAAACUCCUGUCAGUGGGGACGAUAAUGACGGUACCCACAGAGGAAGCACCGGCUAACUCCGUGCCAGCAGCCGCGGUAAGACGGAGGGUGCAAGCGUUGUUCGGAAUUACUGGGCGUAAAGCGUAUGUAGGCGGCAAGUUAAGUUCAAUGUUAAAGCCCACGGCUCAACCGAGGAGAUGCAUUGAAUACUGGCUAGCUAGAGGGUGUUAGAGGAAGACGGAAUUCCCAGUGUAGCGGUGAAAUGCGUAGAUAUUGGGAGGAACAUCGGUAGCGAAAGCGGUCUUCUGGGACAUACCUGACGCUGAGGUACGAAAGCGUGGGGAGCAAACGGGAUUAGAUACACGUGUAGUCC
rnacentral:rRNA from 1 species